rnacentral:rRNA from 1 species
AGCAGCCGCGGUAAUUCCAGCUCCAAUAGCGUAUAUUAAAGUUGUUGCAGUUAAAAAGCUCGUAGUUGAAUUUCGGGAUCAAUUUAUUGGUCGUGCUAUUGUACGUACUGGUAUUAUUGAUUCCUACCUUCUGACGAACCAUGAUGUCAUUAAUUUGGUGUCUUGGGGAAUCAGGACUGUUACUUUGAAAAAUUAGAGUGUUUAAAGCAGGCUCACGCUUGAAUACAUUAGCAUGGAAUAACGAAAUAGGACGUUUGAUUCUAUUUUGUUGGUUUCUAGGAUCGACGUAAUGAUUAAUAGGGAUAGUUGGGGGCAUUAGUAUUCAAUUGUCAGAGGUGAAAUUCUUGGAUUUAUUGAAGACUAACUACUGCGAAAGCAUUUGCCAAGGAUGUUUUCAUUAAUCAAGAACGAAAGUUAGGGGAUCGAAGACGAUCAGAUACCGUCGUAGUCUUAACCAUAAACUAUGCCGACUAGGGAUCGGAUGAUGUUAAUUUUUAAUGACUCAUUCG